UGCAGGUAAGUGGCUAGAGAAUGGGAGGGGCAGAGGUGCAGGUAAGUGACUAGAGAAUGGGAGGGGCAGAGGUGCAGGUAAGUGGCUAGAGAAUGGGAGGGGCACAGGUGCAGGUAAGUGACUAGAGAAUGGGAGGGGCAGAGGUGCAGGUAGGUGACUAGAGAAUGGGAGGGGCAGAGGUGCAGGUAAGUGACUAGAGAAUGGGAGGGGCAGAGGUGCAGGUAGGUGACUAGAGAAUGGGAGGGGCACAGGUGCAGGUAAGUGACUAGAGAAUGGGAGGGGCAGAGGUGCAGGUAGGUGACUAGAGAAUGGGAGGGGCAGGUAAGUGACUAGAGAAUGGGAGGGACAGAGGUGCAGGUAGGUGACUAGAGAAUGGGAGGGGCAGAGGUGCAGGUAGGUGACUAGAGAAUGGGAGGGGCACAGGUGCAGGUAAGUGACUAGAGAAUGGGAGGGGCAGAGGUGCAGGUAGGUGACUAGAGAAUGGGAGGGGCACAGGUGCAGGUAAGUGACUAGAGAAUGGGAGGGGCAGAGGUGCAGGUAGGUGACUAGAGAAUGGGAGGGGCAGGUAAGUGACUAGAGAAUGGGAGGGACAGAGGUGCAGGUAGGUGACUAGAGAAUGGGAGGGGCAGAGGUGCAGGUAAGUGACUAGAGAAUGGGAGGGGCAGGUAAGUGACUAGAGAAUGGGAGGGGCAGGUAAGUGACUAGAGAAUGGGAGGGGCAGGUAAGUAACUACAGAAUGGGAGGGACAGAGGUGCAGGUAGGUGACUAGAGAAUGGGAGGGGCAGAGGUGCAGGUAAGUGACUAGAGAAUGGGAGGGGCAGGUAAGUGACUAGAGAAUGGGAGGGACAGAGGUGCAGGUAGGUGACUAGAGAAUGGGAGGGGCAGAGGUGCAGGUAAGUGACUAGAGAAUGGGAGGGGCAGGUAAGUGACUAGAGAAUGGGAG